rnacentral:rRNA from 1 species
AAGUUAAUAAGGGCGCACGGUGGAUGCCUUGGCAUUAAGAGCCGAAGAAGGACGUGACUAACGACGAUAUUCUAGGGGGAGCAGUAAGUACGCAUUGAUCCCUAGGUCUCCGAAUGGGGAAACCCACUAUGUUAUGCAUAGUAUCCGUAAGUGAAUACAUAGCUUACGCGAAGGUAACGCAGAGAACUGAAACAUCUAAGUACCUGCAGGAAGAGAAAGUAAAAACGAUUUCCUAAGUAGCGGCGAGCGAACGGGAAACAGGCCAAACCAAGAAGCUUGCUUCUUGGGGUUGUAGGACUGCAACGUGGACUUAAAGUCUAUAGAAGAAUUACCUGGGAAGGUAAGCCAAAGAGAGUAAUAGCCUCGUAUUUGAAAUAGACUUUAUACCUAGCAGUAUCCUGAGUAGGGCUGGACACGCGAAAUCCAGUUUGAAUCCGGGAGGACCAUCUCCCAAGCCUAAAUACUCCUUAAUGACCGAUAGUGAACCAGUACCGUGAGGGAAAGGUGAAAAGAACCCCGGGAGGGGAGUGAAAUAGCACCUGAAACCGUGUGCCUACAAGAAGUUCGAGCCCGUCAAUGGGUGAGAGCGUGCCUUUUGUAGAAUGAACCGGCGAGUUACGUUAUGAUGCGAGGUUAAGCUGAAGAGGCGGAGCCGUAGCGAAAGCGAGUCUGAAUAGGGCGCUUUAGUAUCAUGAUGUAGACCCGAAACCUAGUGACCUAUCCAUGAGCAGGUUGAAGGUGCGGUAAGACGCACUGGAGGACCGAACCAGGACACGUUGAAAAGUGUUUGGAUGACUUGUGGAUAGCGGAGAAAUUCCAAACGAACUGGGAGAUAGCUGGUUCUCUCCGAAAUAGCUUUAGGGCUAGCGUCGCAAUUUAAGUGUAUUGGAGGUAGAGCACUGUUUGGAUGAGGGGCCCAUCUCGGGUUACCAAUUUCAGAUAAACUCCGAAUGCUAAUACACAUGUGCGGCAGUCAGACUGCGAGUGCUAAGAUCCGUAGUCGAAAGGGAAACAGCCCAGACCACCAGCUAAGGUCCCAAAAUAUAUGUUAAGUGGAAAAGGAUGUGGGGUUGCACAGACAACUAGGAUGUUAGCUCAGAAGCAGCUAUCAUUCAAAGAGUGCGUAAUAGCUCACUAGUCGAGUGACCCUGCGCCGAAAAUGUACCGGGGCUAAACAUAUUACCGAAGCUGUGGAUUUAAUAUUAAUUAAAUGGUAGGAGAGCGUUGUAAUCAGCGAUGAAGGUAUACCGUGAGGGGUGCUGGAGCGAUUACAAGUGAGAAUGCCGGUAUGAGUAGCGCAAGAUAAGUGAGAAUCUUAUCCACCGUAAGACUAAGGUUUCCAGGGGAAGGCUCGUCCGCCCUGGGUUAGUCGGGACCUAAGGCGAGGCCGAAAGGCGUAGUCGAUGGACAACAGGUUGAUAUUCCUGUACUAGUAUUGUUAGUGAUGGAGGGACGCAGUAGGCUAAAGGGAGCCAGUUAAUGGAUUCUGGUCUAAGCAGUGAGGUGUGGAAUGUGUCAAAUGCAUUUUCCUUUAACAUUGAGCUGUGAUGGGGAAGCAACUACGGUUGCGAAGCCCUUGAUGUCACACUGCCAAGAAAAUCUUCUAGCGUUUAAUUCAAUACUACCCGUACCGCAAACCGACACAGGUAGUCGAGGCGAGUAGCCUCAGGUGAUCGAGAGAACUCUCGUUAAGGAACUCGGCAAAAUGACCCCGUAACUUCGGGAGAAGGGGUGCUGUAGAAAUACAGCCGCAGUGAAAAGAUCCAAGCAACUGUUUAUCAAAAACACAGCUCUCUGCUAAACCGCAAGGUGAUGUAUAGGGGGUGACGCCUGCCCGGUGCUGGAAGGUUAAGAGGAGGGGUUAGACAUUAGUCGAAGCUCUGAAUUGAAGCCCCAGUAAACGGCGGCCGUAACUAUAACGGUCCUAAGGUAGCGAAAUUCCUUGUCGGGUAAGUUCCGACCCGCACGAAAGGCGUAAUGAUUUGGAUACUGUCUCAACGAGAGACUCGGUGAAAUUUUAGUACCUGUGAAGAUGCAGGUUACCCGCGACAGGACGGAAAGACCCCAUGGAGCUUUACUGCAGAUUGAUAUUGAGUACCUGUGAAGCAUGUACAGGAUAGGUAGGAGACUUUGACCUUGGGACGCUAGUUUCAAGUGAGUCGCUGUUGGGAUACUACCCUUGCUUCAUGGUUGCUCUAACCCACACGCAUAAUCGGCGUGGGAGACAGUGUCUGUCGGGCAGUUUGACUGGGGCGGUCGCCUCCUAAAGAGUAACGGAGGCGCCCAAAGGUUCCCUCAACAUGGUUGGAAAUCAUGUGUAGAGUGUAAAGGUAUAAGGGAGCUUGACUGCGAGAGCUACAACUCGAGCAGGUAGGAAACUAGGGCUUAGUGAUCCGGUGGUACCGCAUGGAAGGGCCAUCGCUCAACGGAUAAAAGCUACCCUGGGGAUAACAGGCUUAUCUCCCCCAAGAGUUCACAUCGACGGGGAGGUUUGGCACCUCGAUGUCGGCUCGUCGCAUCCUGGGGCUGUAGUCGGUCCCAAGGGUUGGGCUGUUCGCCCAUUAAAGCGGCACGCGAGCUGGGUUCAGAACGUCGUGAGACAGUUCGGUCCCUAUCCGUCGCGGGCGUAGGAAAUUUGAGAGGAUCUGCCCUUAGUACGAGAGGACCGGGGUGGACUUACCGCUGGUGUACCAGUUGUUCCGCCAGGAGCACCGCUGGGUAGCUAUGUAGGGAAGGGAUAAGCGCUGAAAGCAUCUAAGUGCGAAGCCCACCUCAAGAUGAGAUUUCCCAUUCUUUAUGAAUUAAGAGCCCUGAGAGAUGAUCAGGUUGAUAGGCUGGAAGUGGAAGUCCUGCGAGGGAUGGAGCGGACCAGUACUAAUAGCUCGAGGACUUUACC